UAAGGCCUGCCCACCUUCGCUUUAUACUCUUCUCUUUGAAGUUUGCUUUUAUUGAUUAAUAAAAAUUAGCCCUAGGCACCGCCUAGUGGAUUAGUUUUUUUUUUAAAAAAAAAAAAAAAACUUUUUGUUUUAAAUAUUUGGUCUUACUCUUUUUUACCUUCUUUUUAACUUCUCCCCUUUUUACAGGUGGAGAGAUGGUGGAGUAGUGGAAAAAACAAAUCUCAAACAAGUUCUCAGGUCUGCAAUUCCCUGAAUGAAUUGCAAAACUUAACAAUCAUAGGCAAGUCAAGGAACAAGAACAAGGGCUUAGACCUGCGUGUUGGAUCUGACUUUCCAGUUAAUUGUCCAGCAAGUCAGUCCAGAAUUAGGGACCUUAACAUCUUAUUUCUGUCAAUGUGGGAUUUCUUGGUGAGUUUGUUUUUUUCUUCUCUUUUUGGUCUGGUGAUUGUUGUGCACAACUCUUGUGGAUCUGUAUUCUGAACUGCAUAUAAAUCUUUCCCAUAUUAAGCUUUGAUAUUUCGUGAAUGCCUAUCUGAGUUCUGAUGUUUGUGCUAGUAUGCUAGUGCACUAGCGAAAUCCAGAAGAUUAUGAUGCACUUUAUAAUUGGGCAUUGGUUCUUCAGGAAUGAUCUAUAGAAAAGGAAAAAGAAUGUGAGAAAGAGAAACCCCAUUAUCUAUGUAUAAUGAUCCGUCUCUUCCUUUUAUAGAGAAACCCCGGUUGUUAUG